CAGCCAUCAAAUUUCUUUUUAUUUAGAAAUUUUGAAGUUUCUGACAUACUCUGUAAGAAUUUCAAAAUUCUCAUCAGUGGAACAUUGACAGUUGGAAAUGAUAAUAAUAGUGGGAAGUGAUCACUACCAAAAGUAGAUCGUAAUGGAUCCCAGGACAAAGAAGAAGCAAGAUUAGGUGUAGUGAAUGUUAAAUCUGGAGCACUUGGGCCCUCGUCAGGUUGAGAAUGUCGUGUAGGACAACCAUCAUUUAAUAUACACAAAUUCACUGAAUCAAAUAUAUCUAUUAAUGUGUUACCAUAACUAUUAGAAGAUAAGUAACCCCAGGUUUCAUGGCGACAGUUAAAAUCACCAAGGAUCAUAAAAGGCUUUGGAAGAAUGUAAAUAAUAUCUUUAAUUUCAUUUAAGAUUGCAGAAAAAGGAUGAGGUAUAUAAAUAGAUACAUAACAGAUAUUUUCAACUAAAGCAGAAAUAAUAGAAAAAUCAUUACUGUGAGAAGGAAUAGAGAAGAGAGAAAAGGAAAGAGGGUGUUUCACAAGCAUGGCUACUCCGCCAUGCCCAUCCACACGAUCUUCUCUGAGACAUGAAUAACCACGAAUCUUAAAUAAAGAUCCUGGUUUCAACCAUGUCUCUUGAAGAGCACAGAUAUAAGGUUUAUAUUUAUUUAAUAAAUAAAUAAGAUCACUUUUUUUAGGAGUGAUGCUUUGACAAUUCCAUUGAAGAA